CGGUAGCUCAGCUGGUAGAGCAACUGACUUUUAAUCAGUAGGUCCAGGGUUCGAACCCCUGCC
rnacentral:tRNA from 1 species